rnacentral:rRNA from 1 species
AUCUGGUACCUUCGGUGCCCGAGUUGUAAUUUGAAGAAAGCUAUCUUGGAGGUGGCCCUUGUCUAUGUUCCUUGGAACAGGACGUCAUGGAGGGUGAGAAUCCCGUGUGAUGAGGUGUCCAUUUCCGUGUAAGAUGCUUUCGAAGAGUCGAGUUGUUUGGGAAUGCAGCUCAAAGUGGGUGGUAAAUUCCAUCUAAAGCUAAAUAUUGGCGAGAGACCGAUAGCGAACAAGUACUGUGAAGGAAAGAUGAAAAGAACUUUGAAAAGAGAGUGAAAAAGUACGUGAAAUUGUUGAAAGGGAAGGGUAUUUGAUCAGACUUGGUAUUUAGCUAUCAUCGCUCCUUGUGGGUGGUGCUCUAGCUUUUUACUGGGCCAGCAUCAGUUUUGGUGGCAAGAUAAUGACAGUUGAAUGUGGCUCCUCGGAGUGUUAUAGCUUCUGUUGAUGUUGCCUACCGAGACUGAGGUCUGCGGCUUUUGCCUAGGAUGCUGGCGUAAUGAUCCAAUACCGCCCGUCUA